rnacentral:rRNA from 1 species
GACGAACGCUGGCGGCGUGCUUAACACAUGCAAGUCGAACGGAAAGGCCCUGCUUUUGUGGGGUGCUCGAGUGGCGAACGGGUGAGUAACACGUGAGUAACCUGCCCUUGACUUUGGGAUAACUUCAGGAAACUGGGGCUAAUACCGGAUAGGAGCUCCUGCUGCAUGGUGGGGGUUGGAAAGUUUCGGCGGUUGGGGAUGGACUCGCGGCUUAUCAGCUUGUUGGUGGGGUAGUGGCCUACCAAGGCUUUGACGGGUAGCCGGCCUGAGAGGGUGACCGGCCACAUUGGGAUUGAGAUACGGCCCAGACUCCUACGGGAGGCAGCAGUGGGGAAUAUUGCACAAUGGGCGGAAGCCUGAUGCAGCAACGCCGCGUGCGGGAUGACGGCCUUCGGGUUGUAAACCGCUUUCGCCUGUGACGAAGCGUGAGUGACGGUAAUGGGUAAAGAAGCACCGGCUAACUACGUG